CCUAACACAUGCAAGUCGAACGGUAACAGGAAGAAGCUUGCUUCUUUGCUGACGAGUGGCGGACGGGUGAGUAAUGUCUGGGAAACUGCCUGAUGGAGGGGGAUAACUACUGGAAACGGUAGCUAAUACCGCAUAACGUCGCAAGUCCAAAGAGGGGGACCUUCGGGCCUCUUGCCAUCGGAUGUGCCCAGAUGGGAUUAGCUAGUAGGUGGGGUAACGGCUCACCUAGGCGACGAUCCCUAGCUAGUCUGAGAGGAUGACCAGCCACACUGGAACUGAGACACGGUCCAGACUCCUACGGGAGGCAGCAGUGGGGAAUAUUGCAC
rnacentral:rRNA from 1 species